rnacentral:lncRNA from 1 species
UCCUGUGCGCUGCUCUGCUCUUCCGGGCAUGGCGCUACUCUGCUGUCCGGUGGUGGAUGUAGGCGUGAGGACGCUUGUCUCACGAAGCUCGUAGUAGGUAUGGGGUCCUCGCCUCAUCCUCGAGAAGCGAUCGCGCGGUAGAUGUAAAAUGUGACCAAUGCGUAAAGGAGAAGGGCACGGCGCUGCGAAAGUUUAGGGCCGAGGAGAUGGCUCCCCGGGCCAAGGCGCUGGCCGCGGAGCCUCAACAUCGUGGGUUCGAUCCUGGGACCCACUUGGAGAGAUCCGACUUCCUCAACACGUCCCCUGACUUCACUACGAUCUCAGUCGUGUACGCGCCACCCACAUUCAAAACCGCAAAGGACAGACUUAGAAUACAAGCCGAAUACUGAUGGAUGAAAAGUGGGAAUUGUUCAGGGAGUAACGUCCUUUGUGAAGAAAGAGCCAGUGAAGAGGGAUAGUGGGAAGAAAAAAAAAUUCAAAUAUGGGGAAGGGGUAUGGAAACGUGAAGACUGGAGAAUUGGCGCAACCUGGUUGCAUCUUCCCGUUACUCCCACGUGUUUUUCUUUUGAUGGUUUGUUUUCCGACCUGUGUGUUAAUGAUACCGAGGGCCGGACCCCCGGCCAGGGACUGCUGCAAGCGCUCCUUCACAGCUACCAGCUUGAGCUCCAGGUCGAUCCUCUGCUCUUCCUUGGCACGGCAUUGAGCUUCCAGAGUGGCCACGGCCUCUUCCAAGGCCUUCGACUUUGCUCCUGAGUCCAGAGACACGGAUGAGAAAGUCUGCGGGGCUAAAGGCCCCACUCCACCCCCCCCCCCCGCCCCUUGCUGGAGUGUCCAGAAGGACUGGGUGAAGGCUUGUACUGCAGCCACUAUGUCACCACAAAGAGAAAGAGAAUAAAGUCACAUUUCUCUGUACUUCACUACA